CCUAGUUAAUGAUUUUGGGGCAGAUAGAAUUUAACUUCUCAUUGACAACAUGUCCAGACACUGGACAAAGUUUGACUUUAUUGAGCACCAGAGACCACACUCCUACCUCCUUGAAAUUCUGCUUCUCCAAGGGAUGGACUUCACCUUGGAUUCUGUUCCCAAACAAGUAUGUAGGGACAAAAGGAGCAUGGCCAUCCCCCAGAGUGGCCAGUGUUUCCUGCAAAUCUUCUCCUUCUGCACUUUAUUCUAGACUUUAAAAGCCCAACCACCCAUUGACUUCAUUCAGCUUAUUUUGUUCCAGAGUCUAUUUGCUGGGGCUGCAAAGAUGAGCCAGUCACAGUCACUACCCUCACCAAUACCACUGUCAAGCAAGACCACUAAAGUGUUUCCUCUUUCCUUUAUCCUUUUUAGAUGAAGCAGGUCCAUGAAGAUGGGCUGUAUGUUUUGAUCAAAGAAGAUGCAACCCCUUGAGUUACUCCAGGCACAAGACUGUGUCUUUUAGGCUGGAUUUCCCCCACCCCAAAAUGCUGUGGAGGCUCAGAGGCAGAAGUCACACAUUUUCCAGCAAGCCAUGGGUUCUCACAUCAGGAGUGGAGGCAUCAGGACAACUUGGCAGCCAUGGAGGAAACUGUACCCAUCUGUUCUCCAGACCAGCCCGUUCUGGUGAUGAGGUGGAGUGAGGUGAGUGCUGGUAUGCACUGUGAUGUAGCCUGAGACCACAACUGAUGCAUCAGAAGGAAGACCGUUCCUUCUGGACCUCGGACCACAGUUGACCUCAGGGGAAGCUCAAAAUAAACAUGAUGGCCCGGACUUCAGAGAAGAAAAGACAAGUCCAUUUAGCUGAGUCCAAGCAG